rnacentral:rRNA from 1 species
UAGGGAAUCUUCGGCAAUGGGGGGAACCCUGACCGAGCAACGCCGCGUGAGUGAAGAAGGUUUUCGGAUCGUAAAGCUCUGUUGUUAAGGAAGAACGAGUGUGAGAAUGGAAAGUUCAUGCUGUGACGGUACUUAACCAGAAAGGGACGGCUAACUACGUGCCAGCAGCCGCGGUAAUACGUAGGUCCCGAGCGUUGUCCGGAUUUAUUGGGCGUAAAGCGAGCGCAGGCGGUUAGAAAAGUCUGAAGUGAAAGGCAGUGGCUCAACCAUUGUAGGCUUUGGAAACUGUUUAACUUGAGUGCAAGAGAGGAGGGUGGAAUUCCAUGUGUAGCAGUGAAGUGCGUAGAUAUAUGGAGGAACGCCGGUGGCGAAAGCGGCUCGCUGGUCUGUAACUGACGGUGGGGAUCGAAAGCGUGGGGAGCGAACAGG